UACGGGGGGGGGCAAGCGUUGUUCGGAAUUACUGGGCGUAAAGGGCCAGUAGGCGGCCAACUAAGUCCGACGUGAAAUCCCAAGGCUUAACCUUGGAACUGCGUCGGAUACUGGAUGGCUUGAAUUCGGGAGAGGGAUGCAGAAUUCCAGGUGUAGCGGUGAAAUGCGUAGAUAUCUGGAGGAACACCGGUGGCGAAGGCGGCGUCCUGGACCAACACUGACACUGAGGAGCGAAAGCCAGGGGAGCAAACGGG
rnacentral:rRNA from 1 species